UUUACAUGGGCGGCGCGACUGGAGCUUGUAGGGGGCGGAUCCGCGCACGGCGGGGGCUUGGAGGCGGAUCCGGAGGUGGGCGGCGACGCGGGGGGCGAGGAAGGCCGGAGCGCGGCUUCCCGGGCGGAUCCAUGGCAGAGAAGAGACUGGGUUGUGAGGUUGAGAAGAAGGGAGAAAAGUGGGGCGGUGCGGCGACCCACGCAGGAGCUCCCCGGAGCCAGGUGACGAUGGACGGGCGCGGGAGACAGAAGGAUCCGGCGCGGCGGCGCGCACUCCUUGUAGUUCGAGGCGGGCCUUCAUGGCCGCGCCGCCCCUCCCCUCGCGACAGCUCAGGCAGCGGUCAGAUCCGCCCUCACUCCCUCCCUCACUCCUCGCACUGGAAGACCUAGCCGCUGGGCCAUGGUGACCGAUGGCGAUGAUGACGGUGGUGGCUACCUCGACGAUGGAUAAAAUCCGCUCCGCCCCUCCUCUUAUCCGUCGACGACCGCUUGAAUCCCGAGAGGAGAGGAGAGGAGUGGGAGAUCCAUGGCGGCGGAAAGAUCCGCGCCUGGAUCGGACCUGCUCGUCAAGGAGACCCACGCCAUGGAGCUGCUCGUCAAGGUUCCACCCUGGCACACAUCCAACAUCGCCAUGGACCAGUCGCUCAAGCCGUCUUCUUCCAGAUGGUGAUGGGGUUCCCUCACCAUCUGCAGGUCAUCAUCCUUAAGGGCUCCACCAUCUGCAGUGUCUACAGUGGACUAUUUGCAUCUUCAGUGCAAAUACCUGAUUGUAUAUGGAUGGAUUGUAGGGUCUAACCACCUUGAUUUGAUUCGGGCUGGAGCAGCAGCAGCAGGUCCUUCCUUCCAUGGAGGGCAUCCACAACAUGACCCACACAAGGAGCUCCAAGCAGACAAAGGUACCUGCUCCAUUGUUGUACAUGUUCGUGAGUUCUUUGUGAUGAUGAAACCACUGAUUGGAUGUCAUGAUUAGAUACAAUCCAUUCCAUUGAACUGUGGGGACAACGUGAGGCACAUGUCUCUGAUUUGUUGUUACUUUGGUUGACAAUAUGUACUGUGCAUGCGUGUGUGUGUUGAUAAGUAGCAGAUUUGCUUGGCCGCCUGUGACACUCAUACCAAAUCCUUGACAUUUCUGGGGUUAUACAACCAUCAUGUUUUCUAAGGUUUUGUUUUCCCGCCUCCAUCUCUUCCAUGGCAAGCAGCACAGGUUUCUUUGUUUGUAAAUUAAGCAGUCUAGUAGAUUUGGAAAGGAGGAACAGGGUACUGAACUUUUAUAUAUCUGCACAAGGUACCUUUCAAUUAAUAAGAUUUGUUUUUCUAUUCUAAAUAGGGUACUGAGCCUGAUAAUUGUACCUUUCUAUUCUGAAUUGCAUAUUUGUAAGAAUACUAUGUUAUUUAAGAACAUGGCGGUGCAGUCACCCGAGGUGAAGAAGCUCCGUCAGACCGUCACCUACCUCUACAUCCUCCACUAGGCUGACAAGCACAACUGCUAACAAGUAUGCUAAUACACCCUCAUCUGCAUCACUUCCUCCUAGCCUGUGAUUUAUGACAUGGAGCAUGUUGUUCUGUUAUCAUAUACACGAAUCUGUCCAUGCUUACAUGUGGUCAUAGGUUGUGGAAUAGGAGAAACAAUAUAAUGUUCUUUAGCAGAUGCAAACCUGUCCAUGCCUUAUUUGGACCAAUAAUUACUGGUGUUGCCUAUUUGAUAUGUAAACAUAUUUUUUUGGAUGUCACAGAAAAAUGCCAUGCUACUACAUAAGUUUGAAUCAAACAAAUUAAAUUUGUAAUAAGAUCCCUGAAAGUAAUUAAGUGCUUCUUGAAUGCAUGGAAACAACAAGUUAGAUAUCUCAGAGGUACUAUGUCAUAUAUUCUGAAAGUGGCGCACAUGGAUAUGUAUUCUUGGUUAGCUUUAUGUUCCAUUUCUGUUGUACAUGCUCCAAGAGUUAAUGUGUUAUUCUGAAAGGAUAUGAAGUGAAUUGUCUUCUACUGCAAUCAAUGGGCAUUUCGUUCUACACAUAUGCCCUGAUGUUGUAGUGCCACUUGAUUUCCUUUAAAAUUUCAGUAACAAUUGAGCAAUAUUGGCCUUCCCUUUUUCCUGUAUUAAGUACUAUUCAUGGAGUCAAAGCUCAUGGAGAUGGUCUGUUACUGAUUGCUGCAUCUAUAAAGCUCACUAAUAAAAUAUCUGCUGGUUCAUCUAACUUAUUUGAUCUAUAUGUUUUUGUUUACCUGCAACACGAAGAGAAAAACAGGCUCAAUUAGUUCAUAAAUUUUAAAAUUGUGCAUUUUGUAUAAUUUCUGCUGGUUCCAGUCACAGCAUGCCAGCAUCUAAUCCUUGCAGCAGCACCAGGACUAGACUUUGGAUAUUUUUCUAUACAUUUGACAUUAAAGUUAUACCAACUUGCAUCCAUCGAUCACUAGCUAUUACAUGCAGUAGGUAAUUAUCCGAUGUUAAUGCAACAUCCAAAUCAUUGAAAUACGACCUCUUAUUCUACACAGUUCUUUAUGCUUUGACAAAUCACAAAGUAGAAAUCGCUUUUAAGAUAAUCUAUAAUUACAAUAAAACCAGGGAUUGCUUUUCUGAAAGAAAAACAAGGGAUUGUUAAUAUGUUUAAAUAUGAAGAUUUGCAGUACUGUAGGUCCUUACCUCUUCUUUUCCAAAGUAGAUAGGACAAAAAAAUAUGUCCCCGCUAAUCGGUACGUGCAGCAGUGAGGAACCGAGCAAAAGGGGAGCUUGGCUUCCAAUGGGGUGAUGGACAGAUUGUAGGUGGGUGCUUGCCUCAUAUCUUCAAUGUGAGAAUAUUGAUUUCUCUUCUACUCCCUCUGUUUCUAAAUAUAAGUCUUUCUAGGGAUUUCAAUACAAACUACAUAUGGAUGUAUAUAGACUAUGUUAGAGUGUAGGUUCACUCAUUUUGCUCCGUAUGUAUGUAGUGGAAUCUGUAAAAAGACUUAUAUUUAGGAAUAGAGGGAAUAUCGGUUAGUAAGCAUUUUCCAAACUGUACGAAAAAAAUGUCCAGGAGUUAAACUACUUUUCUUACUAUUCAUGCGAGAUGGCAGAAUACUUUGCUUACUAUUCUCUUCAAUUAUUCCCAGAUUACAAGGAUGGCAUUGUUCACGAGUUAAUCUACUGCAGAAAAAAUGACACACCAUUGUCAAGUUGGUAGGAAAUCAACCUGCUGUAUCUAUUUGGUUUUUUCUUCUGGCAUGUCCAUCGACUCUGUUAACACCAAACAAAGUAACAAACUUGACAAAACUGAAACUCAUCUCCCAGAUUUCUCUAUGCACUUGCAUAGAUUCUGAUAUGUCCAUUGUCUUUACGACUUACAUUUUGUAUGUAUCUGGAAGCUAAUUCAGCAUGACCCGCGAGUGUUGAUUUGUAUGUUAGUGUGAUAGCAUCUCACUGAAAUAAUUGACAGAAUAAAGGAAAAUAUAUAUUAGAUGUGUGUUAUAAGAACCGGUAGUCCAUGCUGCCAUGCAACCAAUAAGUAGUCAGACUUUAAAACCAUUGUCAUGCAAAAAUUAGGACAACUUUUGGAGUACUCGGGUUAUCCGAGUUCUUAUAAACAGGUUCCCUUUGUUGUAAGAGAGCAAGGUGCUAGAGGACUCACAUGAUGAGGAUGGAAAAAUACAUUGUGAUACUUGCUUCCGGCUUAUGCUAGACACAAUCUACAUGCCAUGCCAUGCCACUACUGCACAUAGCGGUACAAUCCAAAUGCUGUUAUGCCACAUCGGGUUCUGGUUGGACGGUGGUUGAAAUCGAAGAAGACACAACCUAAGCAAUUUGGUUACCCCGUUGCAACGCACGGGCAUAUUUACUAGUUUAUUCUUAAUGUACAAAUGCAGACUCACAUUUCGCCGUGACCAAAAGAGAACACAAAAUAGACUCUAUGAAUGAGAUUUGUAAACAAAAUGGAGUGGCUGAUAACUGAUUAACUAGUACACAUGUACCAUUACUUAUCAGGAAACCCAUAACCCCAAGCUCUAGUUAUCCCAUCUUAGGACAAUGCUAUUAUGAUAUACAUUCAGCUUAAUUUUGUUUGUAGAACAAAAAUGGAGUGAACAAAUAAGAAAGGUGUUCAACACACAACAGUUCUGUCCAGAAUAUACAUCUUGAGACUAAUUACACAUAUUUCUGUUCAGAACAUCAAUGUUGUAUGAUUAAUUUUUUUGGGCCUAUAAGUUUCAUCUCUUCUAUCACUAAUUUGCCAGAAAUCGUUCGGGUCACUACCAUUUCGUCAUUAGUCAGCCAAAAUGCCAAAUGUAAGUUGUGGUCACUCCAUCAUAUCAAAGUACCAAACUCAGCCAUUUUCCCUGACAUCUACCAACAGACCUAACUAAUUUACAGACCAACAGACCUAACUAAUUUACAGCAAUAUGGCAUGUAUGUGAAGACCAUCUCAAAAUAUAUGCUUAAUUUUAUGGUAUUCCCUUGCUAAUAUUUUUACAAGUGCUGAUGUCAAAACAUUGCAACCCUGUAGUUCAGGCUCAGAGUAAAAAUAUUUGAUA